CUUGAUCGAGCCCAGCCACAGUGGCCGGUCCUCGGGCCGGUCCUGGCCGUACGUGGCCAGCAGGGCCUGGGCCUC
rnacentral:antisense_RNA from 1 species